rnacentral:rRNA from 1 species
AUUGAACGCUGGCGGCAUGCCUUACACAUGCAAGUCGAACGGCAGCGGGCCCUUCGGGGUGCCGGCGAGUGGCGAACGGGUGAGUAAUGCAUCGGAACGUACCCGGGAGAGGGGGAUAACCGGCCGAAAGGCUGGCUAAUACCGCAUGAACUCGGAAGAGCAAAGCGGGGGACCUUCGGGCCUCGCGCUCUCGGAGCGGCCGAUGUCCGAUUAGGCUAGUUGGUGGGGUAAAGGCCCACCAAGGCGACGAUCGGUAGCGGGUCUGAGAGGACGAUCCGCCACACUGGGACUGAGACACGGCCCAGACUCCUACGCGAGGCAGCAGUGGGGAAUCUUGGACAAUGGGCGCAAGCCUGAUCCAGCAAUGCCGCGUGGGUGAAGAAGGCCUUCGGGUUGUAAAGCCCUUUCGGCGGGGAAGAAAUCGGUCAGGCGAAUAGUCUGGCCGGAUGACGGUACCCGCAGAAGAAGCACCGGCUAACUACGUG